AUAUAUAUAUACACACACACACUUACAUGAAUAUAUAUAUACACACACACACGGAUUUAUAUAUAUAUAUAUAUGUGUGUGUGUGUGUGUGUGUAU